UUACUUGAUAACUAAUUAUAUUUUUAUUUUUUGAAACAGAUUCUCUCUCUGUUGCACAGGCUGGAGUGCAGUGGCAUGAUCUCAGCUCACUACAACCUCCACCCCCUGGGUUCAAGUGAUUCUUCUGUCUCAGCCUCCCAAGUAGCUGGGACUCCAGGUUGAUUUGGCUCAUUGCGGUGGUGCACCUUGGGGUCUUAUGCACUUGCAGUUUGAUGGCAGUAGGACAGCGUCUCCCAAAGGCUCUGCUGGGUGGGAUAUCCAAGACGCUUUUCCUCCUUACCUGGCUGGUGCUUCAGUGAUGCUUGGCCUCUCUCCAGAGAAAGUCCAAGAUCAAGGUGCCAGCAGAUCCAGUGUCCAAUGAAGACUUACGCUUUGCUUCCAAGAUGGUACCUUCUUGCUGUGUCCUCAUAUUGGUGAGGGAGCAAAAGGGAUGAUGUCAGUGUCCUAA
rnacentral:lncRNA from 1 species